CGGGCCUAACACAUGCAAGUCGAGCGGAGUUAACAAGAGGAAGUUUCGGAUGGAAUUUGUAAUUAGCGGCGGACGGUGAGUAACGCGUGAGCGACCAACCUUGCACAGGGGGAUAACGGACCGAAAGGUUCACUAAUACCGCAUGAGACCACGGUGUUGCAUGACACAGAGGUCAAAGGAGCAAUCCGGUGCAAGACGGGCUCGCGUCCGAUUAGGUAGUUGGUGGGGUAAUGGCCCACCAAGCCUAUGAUCGGUAGCCGACCUGAGAGGGUGAUCGGCCACAUUGGAACUGAGAUACGGUCCAAACUCCUACGGGAGGCAGCAGUGGGGAAUAUUGGGCAAAUGGGGGAAACCCUGACCCAGCAACGCCGCGUGAAGGAAGAAGGUUUUCGGAUUGUAAACUUCUGUCCUUGGUGAAGAGAAGAAGACGGUAGCCAAGGAGGAAGCCCCGGCUAACUACGUGCCAGCAGCCGC
rnacentral:rRNA from 1 species